UGAUACAUACCCGAUUUCAGAUGGAAUCUUAUCUCACUAAGCAGACUGGAUUCAAACGGCUACAAGUGAGUGGCUAUGGAAUCUUAAAGAUUAUGCACGGUGAUAGGGUUAUUCUGGAGGAUAAGAAAAUGAUGAGAGGACAUUACUACAUGAUAGAAAAUCCAAUGUGAGGUGGAGAUUCCGGAGUCAAGGAGAGCCCAGUGCGAGGUAGAGCUCUAGGUGGAGGUG
rnacentral:lncRNA from 1 species